rnacentral:rRNA from 1 species
GAUCAUGGUUCAGGAUGAACGCUAGCUACAGGCUUAACACAUGCAAGUCGAGGGGCAGCAUGGUCUUAGCUUGCUAAGGCCGAUGGCGACCGGCGCACGGGUGAGUAACGCGUAUCCAACCUGCCUUACACUCUUGGACAGCCUUCUGAAAGGGAGAUUAAUACAAGAUGUUAUCAUGGGUAAGCAUUUUCGCAUGAUUAAAGGUUUACCGGUGUAAGAUGGGGAUGCGUUCCAUUAG